GAUGAACGCUGGCGGCGUGCCUAAUACAUGCAAGUCGAGCGAACGGACGAGAAGCUUGCUUCUCUGAUGUUAGCGGCGGACGGGUGAGUAACACGUGGAUAACCUACCUAUAAGACUGGGAUAACUUCGGGAAACCGGAGCUAAUACCGGAUAAUAUUUUGAACCGCAUGGUUCAAAAGUGAAAGACGGUCUUGCUGUCACUUAUAGAUGGAUCCGCGCUGCAUUAGCUAGUUGGUAAGGUAACGGCUUACCAAGGCAACGAUGCAUAGCCGACCUGAGAGGGUGAUCGGCCACACUGGAACUGAGACACGGUCCAGACUCCUACGGGAGGCAGCAGUAGGGAAUCUUCCGCAAUAGGCGAAAGCCUGACGGAGCAACGCCGCGUGAGUGAUGAAGGUCUUCGGAUCGUAAAACUCUGUUAUUAGGGAAGAACAUAUGUGUAAGUAACUGUGCACAUCUUGACGGUACCUAAUCAGAAAGCCACGGCUAACUACGUGCCAGCAGCCGCGGUAAUACGUAGGUGGCAAGCGUUAUCCGGAAUUAUUGGGCGUAAAGCGCGCGUAGGCGGUUUUUUAAGUCUGAUGUGAAAGCCCACGGCUCAACCGUGGAGGGUCAUUGGAAACUGGAAAACUUGAGUGCAGAAGAGGAAAGUGGAAUUCCAUGUGUAGCGGUGAAAUGCGCAGAGAUAUGGAGGAACACCAGUGGCGAAGGCGACUUUCUGGUCUGUAACUGACGCUGAUGUGCGAAAGCGUGGGGAUCAAACAGGAUUAGAUACCCUGGUAGUCCACGCCGUAAACGAUGAGUGCUAAGUGUUAGGGGGUUUCCGCCCCUUAGUGCUGCAGCUAACGCAUUAAGCACUCCGCCUGGGGAGUACGACCGCAAGGUUGAAACUCAAAGGAAUUGACGGGGACCCGCACAAGCGGUGGAGCAUGUGGUUUAAUUCGAAGCAACGCGAAGAACCUUACCAAAUCUUGACAUCCUUUGACAACUCUAGAGAUAGAGCCUUCCCCUUCGGGGGACAAAGUGACAGGUGGUGCAUGGUUGUCGUCAGCUCGUGUCGUGAGAUGUUGGGUUAAGUCCCGCAACGAGCGCAACCCUUAAGCUUAGUUGCCAUCAUUAAGUUGGGCACUCUAAGUUGACUGCCCGUGACAAACCGGAGGAAGGUGGGGAUGACGUCAAAUCAUCAUGCCCCUUAUGAUUUGGGCUACACACGUGCUACAAUGGACAAUACAAAGGGCAGCGAAACCGCGAGGUCAAGCAAAUCCCAUAAAGUUGUUCUCAGUUCGGAUUGUAGUCUGCAACUCGACUACAUGAAGCUGGAAUCGCUAGUAAUCGUAGAUCAGCAUGCUACGGUGAAUACGUUCCCGGGUCU
rnacentral:rRNA from 1 species